GGCAGCACAUAACAUAAAAACAUUAUAUAUCUACAAGUGUGUUUACUAAAUACAUGUAUUAUUAUGCUAAUGUAAUUUAAUUGAUAAAGGUUUUUUUUAUUUAAGAAAAUCUGAGCAUCACUCAAAAUAACUGUCAACAUGUUUGUCAACUAAACAUGUUUUGUAAACGUUAUACAUUUUAUAAAAAUAUUUAAUAUUUUUAUUAUUGAUAAAGUAUAAAGAACAAAUCAGUGUGAAAACGCAGAUUAUAAAAAGUACAUAAAGUGCCAGCAGAGGAUCCAAAAUAAUGAAAAAAAAAAAAAAACAUCCAAUGCAACUUGGAAAUUGUAGUCAAAAUACAUCUACAGCAGCAUGCUAAAGCAGUACCAACGCCAGGGCAAAAGACUCAAAUUCCCAGAAUGCACCUGCACCCACCCAUUCAUUCCCACCAAUCAGGAUCAACGGCAUUUUUCAAACCGCUACUGACUCGUUUUCAUGCUAAACAGUACGGCUGAGAGGUCAUGUACCAUGUGGUCGACCUUGCUGACGCUGAAGAGGUUUCUGUGUAAAAAUGAUGACAUUGAGACAAACAGACCAGUUCUGGCUGCCGUGGAGGUCAACACACCACUGAUCUACUGGCUGCCCUUCAACGUGAUGCCCAGCCGAUGCCUGACCACCGACGGAACUAGGGCUGCACGAUAAGUCGCAUGUGUUUGUCAGGCGCAUCUCCUCAGUAAUGCCGGUUCCUUGAUUAGUAUUAAAUCGCCAUCAGCUGUUUUCAGAUGUAGCAGCUUUAACUACACAGAGCCGUAGUUCACUGACAAUCGGGGCAAUUUCGCAUUAAUUAUCGCGGACGUAUCGGCUGCGAUAUGUAUGCGAUAUGGCCCAGCUUGUCAGGGAACUACGGCUCUGUAGUUAAAGCUGCUCCAUCUGA